AUGAGAUAAAAGAUCCUCUUUCUAAAGAGAUUCGAUUCGGAACUCUUAUAUGAGUUUUACCUUACUUUGUCUGUGUCAACAAACAAUUCGAAAUACCUCAACUUUUUCAGAACAGGUCCGAGUCAAAUAGCAAUGAUUCGAAGCACUUCUUUUUUCCAUUACACUAUUUCAUAAACCUAAGGACUCGAUCAUAUGGAUAUGGAAAAUACAAGAUUUCCGAUCCUAGCGGGAAAAGGAGGGAAACAGAUACUCAAUUUAAAGUGA
rnacentral:rRNA from 1 species